UACAGAGGUGGCGAGCGUUGUUCGGAUUUACUGGGCGUAAAGGGCGCGUAGGCGGCGAUGUGUGUCGGGUGUGAAAUCCCAGGGCCCAACCCUGGAAGUGCGCCCGAAACUGCAUCGCUUGAGUGCGGGAGGGGAGAUCGGAAUGCAGGGUGUAGCGGUGAAAUGCGUUGAUAUCCUGCAGAACACCGGUGGCGAAGGCGGAUCUCUGGAACGCAACUGACGCUGAGGCGCGAAAGUCGGGGGAGCAAACAGG
rnacentral:rRNA from 1 species